rnacentral:rRNA from 1 species
AGCGAACGCUGGCGGCAGGCCUAACACAUGCAAGUCGAACGGAUCCUUCGGGAUUAGUGGCGGACGGGUGAGUAACACGUGGGAACGUGCCCUUUGGUUCGGAACAACUCAGGGAAACUUGAGCUAAUACCGGAUGUGCCCUUCGGGGGAAAGAUUUAUCGCCAUUGGAGCGGCCCGCGUCUGAUUAGCUAGUUGGUGGGGUAAAGGCUCACCAAGGCGACGAUCAGUAGCUGGUCUGAGAGGAUGAUCAGCCACAUUGGGACUGAGACACGGCCCAAACUCCUACGGGAGGCAGCAGUGGGGAAUCUUGCGCAAUGGGCGAAAGCCUGACGCAGCCAUGCCGCGUGAAUGAUGAAGGUCUUAGGGUUGUAAAGCUCUUUUACCAGGGAUGAUAAUGACAGUACCUGGAGAAUAAGCUCCGGCUAACUCCGUGCCAGCCGCCGCCGUAA